UAGCUUGGCCAUUCCUCGCAAUUGGCGCAUCGCUUGAAAACCGGCGGUCAGCCUGCAGUGUACGCCGCCGGCGUGCUUUCUUGCCAGAGGUAGCAAACAGCAGUGCCACGACUAACAGUGGAGUGCGGACCAUGCAGUCCAGAAUGUGGCCGAGGCAAGCAUGCCAUAAGAGGUGCUUAUUCAGGCAGAACAAAUAAGCAUCUGUAGCCAACGUAAAGGAAGCAUCUUCACCUAGCAGUGCUACAAGGAUGUGAACAGCAGUUCCCCUUCAACGAAAGGGUCAAAUUCUUGGAAGCCACAUGCCUGCUGCUUCUGGCCUACACCAACAUGCAGCCACCAUAGUAAAGUUCUUGCAAAGACAUUCUAUACAAGCUGGCCCAACGGCGGAAGGAAGGCAUGAUUAAACUCGGCGCAACGGACACUAUAUACAAACUGAGAAUACACGCGGACAG
rnacentral:lncRNA from 1 species